UGUCUCAUAAAGCAAAAUCUGAAUAC
rnacentral:piRNA from 1 species